GACGAACGCUGGCGGCGUGCCUAAUACAUGCAAGUAGAACGCUGAAGAGAGGAGCUUGCUCUUCUUGGAUGAGUUGCGAACGGGUGAGUAACGCGUAGGUAACCUGCCUUGUAGCGGGGGAUAACUAUUGGAAACGAUAGCUAAUACCGCAUAACAAUAGGUGACACAUGUCAUUUAUUUGAAAGGGGCAAUUGCUCCACUACAAGAUGGACCUGCGUUGUAUUAGCUAGUAGGUGAGGUAACGGCUCACCUAGGCGACGAUACAUAGCCGACCUGAGAGGGUGAUCGGCCACACUGGGACUGAGACACGGCCCAGACUCCUACGGGAGGCAGCAGUAGGGAAUCUUCGGCAAUGGGGGCAACCCUGACCGAGCAACGCCGCGUGAGUGAAGAAGGUUUUCGGAUCGUAAAGCUCUGUUGUAAGUCAAGAACGAGUGUGAGAGUGGAAAGUUCACACUGUGACGGUAGCUUACCAGAAAGGGACGGCUAACUACGUGCCAGCAGCCGCGGUAAUACGUAGGUCCCGAGCGUUGUCCGGAUUUAUUGGGCGUAAAGCGAGCGCAGGCGGUUUGAUAAGUCUGAAGUUAAAGGCUGUGGCUCAACCAUUGUUCGCUUUGGAAACUGUCAAACUUGAGUGCAGAAGGGGAGAGUGGAAUUCCAUGUGUAGCGGUGAAAUGCGUAGAUAUAUGGAGGAACACCGGUGGCGAAAGCGGCUCUCUGGUCUGUAACUGACGCUGAGGCUCGAAAGCGUGGGGAGCGAACAGGAUUAGAUACCCUGGUAGUCCACGCCGUAAACGAUGAGUGCUAGGUGUUGGAUCCUUUCCGGGAUUCAGUGCCGCAGCUAACGCAUUAAGCACUCCGCCUGGGGAGUACGACCGCAAGGUUGAAACUCAAAGGAAUUGACGGGGGCCCGCACAAGCGGUGGAGCAUGUGGUUUAAUUCGAAGCAACGCGAAGAACCUUACCAGGUCUUGACAUCCCGAUGCUAUUUCUAGAGAUAGAAAGUUACUUCGGUACAUCGGUGACAGGUGGUGCAUGGUUGUCGUCAGCUCGUGUCGUGAGAUGUUGGGUUAAGUCCCGCAACGAGCGCAACCCCUAUUGUUAGUUGCCAUCAUUCAGUUGGGCACUCUAGCGAGACUGCCGGUAAUAAACCGGAGGAAGGUGGGGAUGACGUCAAAUCAUCAUGCCCCUUAUGACCUGGGCUACACACGUGCUACAAUGGUUGGUACAACGAGUUGCGAGUCGGUGACGGCAAGCUAAUCUCUUAAAGCCAAUCUCAGUUCGGAUUGUAGGCUGCAACUCGCCUACAUGAAGUCGGAAUCGCUAGUAAUCGCGGAUCAGCACGCCGCGGUGAAUACGUUCCCGGGCCU
rnacentral:rRNA from 1 species